AAAUGAUUGAUAUGGUUUUUAACUCAAAAUUUAACGAUGGGCGUGCAACUUCCAAAAAUAAACUUGAGAUAAUUUGAAAACCGUUGAGGUACAAACGACGGGCUUGGGAUAGAAUCAAGUACAAACGAUUGAUAUGGGUACAAUUUUUUUUUUUUCAAAUAAUCAUUUGAGGAUCAAAAUUAGAAAAUUGUAAAUAUUACAGCAUUUCGAAACAUGUAACUGAAUUUCGCUCAGAAUACUAUUUCGUUAAUAAUGAUUUAUCGUUGAUCACAUAUAUAAAUAAAAUAAUUUUACAUAAAUUACCUUCUCAACUCUUUUAUUUAUACUGUCUUUAUGACAAAAAUAUAUGUUUGUAUUUUCAUCGUGUACACGUAACAAAAGAAUGUUUAGUACAUUUUGAAUUCGGAGUGUAGAGAUGGAUCUAUUGGUUUUACAAUGAUGGUUUUUUACAAUUUUUUUUAUCUAUGAACAAAUUUUCUACCAAAAAUCUUGCUCCAAAGUAUAUUAUUACAAUAUUUAUGUUAUAUUUACGGCGCGCAACGACGUUACCGAUUUAUUGGUUUUAUUAUGUUAACACAAUGUUUUAUACUAGAAAUAUUGCUCCAUUCCAAAAAUGACAAGAUAUUGAUUAUGUUUUUUAUAAUAUUUCGCUACUUUCAAAAAAGGUCGUUUUUCGUUAUCCAAAGGAAUUUUUCUAACAAUUGGGAAAAGCCAAAAAAAGCGAAAAACACGAUUUUUUCAAAUUACAACACAACGGUUCCAUUAUUUAAAAUUUGUACGUCUUAUGUUUUCUGCCAUUAGUAUUUCUCCAAUAGAUAAUUACAAGAGACAAACUACAAUGUCAUCGGAGGAGAUCAUUUGUGUACUUGCGUUAUUGUACACAUACAAAAAGGCGAUAAAAAAGUGGUAAAUUCUCAAUAAACUAUUUUUAAAAG